GUUGUAUCUCAGAGGAUAUAACUUGGCUCAUGGAGUAUUCUAUUCCACAGAGGAAAUCUUUACUAUGUUGGAGUAAAGGUAGAAAAUGAGAAUCCACAGAACCUUGGCAGGAACAAUGUCUCGCUUUGACAGAACUAACGAUCAAUAAUCAUUGGUUAGUGAACUGUCAGACCCCUUGAAGAGAUUAAACUAUUAAUUAACACUUCAUCUGUUUUUAGCUGUCUUAGACUAGAGGCUUGCAAUUUCUAGCACCAUCAGCUUUAAUUAAACUAUGAAAUGAAUGCAGAAUGUAACUUCUAUCACCAGUUGUAGUAAUUAGUCUAUUAAAAUAUGCUUUGGUGUACUGAGAACAUAAUAGUUGCAGUUCAACUGUAAUUCUGGGAAAUGAGUUUCUAAGCAAAGGAAAUUCCAUAGGGAUAGGGUUUGAUGGCCACUCCUUCCUCCUAUGUAGAUGGGUUGGUGGUUCAAGCACUGUCUUGUGACAGUUUCUGUCGGGAAAAUGUGUAAUGCAUAUUGCAAAGAUUUGUUUGGAAGAGAUUCUUGUGAUGACCCUGAAAUGGGGGACACUCCUACUCUUCCUGGGUAAAAUUACAGCCUUGGAUACCCUCAUGCUCAACUAAACUGUGGAUUUCAUCUGCCCUCCUCCCCAGCUGUCAGCCCAACUUCUUCUACCAUCUGGAUCUCCUGUACUUCUACCCUGUUCCUGGGGUGUCCCUCGAUGUUCCACACAUGGUCCUGGCAUGGAUCUGUUCCUCCAGCCGUCACUUGUGUUCUGCUCUUGUAUUGUUAGUGUUACCAGCGGGGGAGCUUGACCCUCAGCCUCUCACAUUCUGGGGGAGUAUCACCCAGGUUAUAGCUAUGAGGACAUUGUGAGGACCAAGCCAUAAUCAAGGUGUGGAUGGGAAGGAUAAUGAGAGGAACUGGGACCCUGACAACCUCACGGUGCUGCCAUUCCAGCUCUGUACCCCAGGCCCCUACAUGUCAUGUUCCAUGAGCAACAUAUACCUUUGACUCAAGUCUCUGAUCACCUGGCUAUCUGUGAUUAUAGCUGAAUGCAUUCCUAAUAAAGCACUGAAGACAAUCCCA
rnacentral:lncRNA from 1 species